GUGCGGUCACAAAAAACGACGUUUUUUGAACGUUGGCUUUGCCAACGGCUCCGAAGGAGUGAAUAAAUCACUUUAGUGAUUUAUGAAUAUUUUUAAC
rnacentral:ncRNA from 1 species